rnacentral:rRNA from 1 species
CAUAUUCCAUUCGCCCGGGUACUACGAGCAUUAGCUUAAAACCCAAAGGACUUGGCGGUGCUUAAGACCCCCCUAGAGGAGCCUGUUCUAGAGCCGAUAACCCCCGUUAAACCUCACCCUUCCUUGUCAACCCCGUCUAUAUACCGCCGUCGUCAGCUUACCCCCUGAGGGUUUAAUAGUAAGCAAAAUUGGUAGAUCUCAAAACGUCAGGUCGAGGUGUAGCGAAUGGAAGGGAUAGAAAUGGGCUACAUUCCUUAACACGAAAAAUGCAAUGAAACGUGCACUGGAAGGAGGAUUUAGCAGUAAGCGGAAAAUAGAGGU